rnacentral:rRNA from 1 species
CAGCAGCCACGGGAAUACGAAGGGGGCUAGCGUUGCUCGGAAUUACUGGGCGUAAAGGGGGCGUAGGCGGACAUUUAAGUCAGGGGUGAAAUCCCAGAGCUCAACUCUGGAACUGCCUUUGAUACUGGGUGUCUUGAGUGUGAUAGAGGUAUGUGGAACUCCGAGUGUAGAGGUGAAAUUCGUAGAUAUUCGGAAGAACACCAGUGGCGAAGGCGACAUACUGGAUCAUUACUGACGCUGAGGCUCGAAAGCGUGGGGAGCAAACAGGAUUAGAUACCCCGGUAGUCCCUGUCUCUUAUAC